GACGGAGGAUGCAAGUGUUAUCCGGAAUCACUGGGCGUAAAGCGUCUGUAGGUGGUUUAAAAAGUCUACUGUUAAAGCUUGAAGCUUAACUUCAAAAAUGCCGUAGAAACUUUUAAACUUGAGUAUGGUAGGGGUAGAGGGAAUUUCCAGUGGAGCGGUGAAAUGCGUAGAUCUUGGAAAGACCACCAAUGGCGAAGGCACUCUACUGGGCCAUUACUGACACUAAGAGACGAAAGCUAGGGGAGCAAACGGG
rnacentral:rRNA from 1 species